CUAUAUGUUUUAGAAUCCCUAUUGUGGUACUUUUUGAUCAUUCUAUUAUUUGUUACCAAUGACAUGUUAUUAAAGGUGUUCAUCGAUCGAUUGGAAGCAAUGAAUGCGAUAUUUAUCACAUUUAUUGGGCAGAAGCAUGUUAUGGGGUGGUGCAAAAUUUCAUAACGAGUGUGUGGUGUGAAGAGUCUUAUAGUAGGAAUCGCAGGUAUGGAAUUUUUUAUUGUUAAUUUCUUGCAAGAUAAACACUGAAUUAGCGAAGGUGGAGGAAAAGGCUAAGAACUGGGGUACUCAAUGGAAGGUUCGAGUCCGUGGAAACCCAUGCGUUAAGCGAUAGAGAAGGUGUUUGAAGAAAGUACUCUAAUUUGAAUUUGGUGACGGUUUGUUCGAAGUUCUAGUUGAAUGAAGUAUCAUAGAAUAGUUUAUAAGACUUUUAGAUGAUGCUAGUUGGUAAAGGUUGUAGAUUUGACAAUGAUUUUGAGAAAUGGUUGGGGCAUAAUGAAUUGUUGUUGUGAUUUUCAUAUCAUAAUCUCAUUACGUAUGAAUUUUUUUUUUUAUUAUGGAUUCCAAUUGAUGUUUCUUUAAUAUCUGUGAUACAUGUUCUAAUUGUUAUAUUUUCA
rnacentral:lncRNA from 1 species